rnacentral:rRNA from 1 species
AGUGAACGCUGGCGGUAGGCCUAACACAUGCAAGUCGAACGGCAGCACAGUAAGAGCUUGCUCUUACGGUUGGCGAGUGGCGGACGGGUGAGGAAUACAUCGGAAUCUACUUUUUCGUGGGUGAUAACGUAGGGAAACGUACGCUAAUACCGCAUACGACCUACGGGUGAAAGCAGGGGAUCUUCGGACCUUGCGCGAUUGAAUGAGCCGAUGUCGGAUUAGAUAGUUGGCGGGGUAACGGCCCACCAAGGCGACGAUCCGUAGCUGGUCUGAGAGGAUGAUCAGCCACACUGGAACUGAGACACGGUCCAGACUCCUACGGGAGGCAGCAGUGGGGAAUAUUGGACAAUGGGCGCAAGCCUGAUCCAGCCAUACCGCGUGGGUGAAGAAGGCCUUCGGGUUGUAAAGCCCUUUUGUUGGGAAAGAAAAGAAGCAGGUUAAUACCCCGCUGUUCUGACGGUACCCAAAGAAUAAGCACCGGCUAACUUCGUG